GCAGGGAUAGCCAAGUCAGGUCAAAGGCGCAGCGUUCAGGGCGCUGUCGUGUAGACGUUCGCAGGUUCGAAUCCUGCUCCCUGCA
rnacentral:tRNA from 1 species